GAUGAACGCUAGCUACAGGCUUAACACAUGCAAGUCGAGGGGCAGCAUGGAGUCAGCUUGCUGACUCUGAUGGCGACCGGCGCACGGGUGAGUAACGCGUAUCCAACCUGGCCCUCAGUAGGGAAUAGCCCGGCGAAAGUCGGAUUAAUGCCCUAUGUUCUCCUUUGCGGGCAUCUAAUGAGGAGGAAAGAUUUAUCGCUGUGGGAUGGGGAUGCGUCUGAUUAGCUUGUCGGCGGGGUAACGGCCCACCGAGGCGACGAUCGGUAGCCGGUCUGAGAGGAUGAACGGCUACAUUGGGACUGAGACACGGCCCAGACUCC
rnacentral:rRNA from 1 species